rnacentral:misc_RNA from 1 species
AUUUUUCACAAAAAUUCCUGUAACAAUAAGAACUAGCCACUAAGAACCUAGUAUAUUGUACGUACAGUACAUCAGCAUUUCGACUAUUUUGCGCAUUUAAUACUCUGACAGUAAGAAUUAAGAAUUAAGAAUACGCCUGUGCAUGACAAUUCAGAUAAAAAUGUCAGGUAAUGGUGAAAAUGAUACAAGUAUUCACAAUGACUUAAGUAAAUUUAAUUUGACUUUUUAUGAAAGUAGUAUUGAACUUUGGAGAAUUGAAGAAAUGUGUCGUUUAAAAGUAAAAAAUAUUGAAGAAAUCAAACAUUCUGCUGAACAAGUUACUUUAGAAAAUGAAUGGAUUGAAAAACAAUUGCAUGGUACUAAAUCAAGAUUAGAUGAAGUUAGAGAAAAUAUAGUGAGUAUUGACAACAUUACUUUCUCUCUUAAUGAAACAUUAGCUCAUCUAGAAAUCCAAUAUAAAAAGAAAGAAUUUGCUUUGAAUAAAUCAAAAUGUGAAUAUGAAUUACAGCUGUUUAUAAAAAUGGAGUUGUGGCAAAAAGAAGAGGAACGACUAAAUAAUAUACCCGAAGUUAAAUUAUUAAAAAUUGCUGAUUCUGAACUGAAAAACACACAACUAGAAUAUGAAGAGUUAUUGAUAAAUCUAAAAAAUUUAGUUGAAAAGAUUAACAUAGCUACAUGUGAAAAUGAUGAAAAACGGAACCAUAUCAUUGUAGAAUAUGCCAAUGUUUAUAUUGAAAUGUUAUCUUUAAAUAAGAGAGAAGAAAACUGCAAGACUCUUUUAAGGAAAUUGAAUGCAGAGUAUAAUGAGAAAUGUUGUAUGAAAAAUGUACUUCUUGAAUCCCAAAAUAAGAGAGUUAAUAAAUUAUUAUUUUGGUCACAUACUCCUAGCACAUUUGACUCCAACAUUUUCGAUAUGAAACUUAAUUCACUGAGUCAAGAUCACCUAACACCUAAUUUAACAUAUUCCAGUAAUUAUAAUCAUGACAAUUUUACUUAUGACAAAAAUGAUGUAAAUAUUCAGAAUUCAAAAUUAAAUAAACCGAAAAAAAAUGUAACUUUUUUAUUAUCUUCUGAUGAUAAAAUAUCCCUGGAAACAAAUGAUGAGGAUGUCAAUAUUUGCAAAAACUUAGAUGUACUUACAGAAGAAAUCAAUGAAAAUAUAAAUAACAACUUUUCACAAUUAGAAAAUAUUGUGGAAGAUAGUACUAUUCAAUUUACAAAAAAAGAAUCAAAAGAAAUACAUUUUGAGAAUAAAGAUAAACAUAUGGAUCAUGACGGUGAUCUAAAUUCCUAUACUAAUAUAUCUAAAACUACUGAUGUACUUUCUGGUAUUAAAUUUAAAAAACCAUUCAAUUCAGUACAAGAUACAAGUAUUAUAAAUCCAAAAAUUAUUCAACCAAGUAAAAUGAAGACAAACAAGAACAUAAAUAUGGAUAAUAAUUGUUAUCAAGGAAAAUUUAAACCAUUUAGUUUUUCAAUGAACAAUAAAAAUGAUAAUGAUAAAGAUAGUUGUCUGAUUGAUGAAGACCAAUUACAAAAAAAUGCUAUAAAAUCUUUAGAACACUCAGAUUUAAAAAAAUUUAAUUCUGAUAAUAUUAAUAUAUUUAAUGAUCUAUCUCAAUUACAUGAAAACGUAUCUGAUAAUCAAAACAAAGAAUUAUCUGAUGAAUUUUGGAACUUUUGUACAGAACCGAUGUCUCAAAAUAGUGGAAAUAGCAGUUUAUGUAUUUAUCUGAAUUAUUUGGAAAUUCUUAUGAUAUUAGUCAAUAUCAAAAUAAUUCACAAUUCCAUUUUUCAAACUCUUUUAAGGAUAACUUAGAUGUAAAUCCUGAAUCAAAUUUCCAAAGAUUAAUAAUACCAGAACAACCAGCAAAUUUUAUAUUCAAUCCUUCACUAAGUGAAUCAUCUAAGAAAAGGAAUAUUAAGAAGAAUUUAUCUAUUAAUGAAACAACA